CUAAAUGACUCUCGACAACGGAUAUCUCGGCUCUUGCAUCGAUGAAGAACGUAGCGAAAUGCGAUACUUGGUGUGAAUUGCAGAAUCCCGUGAACCAUCGAGUCUUUGAACGCAAGUUGCGCCUGAAGCCAUCAGGUUGAAGGCACGUCUGCCUGGGCGUCACGCAU
rnacentral:rRNA from 1 species